UAACAACAUAUAAGGCUCACGUCGUUGCUCUGUGGUAGAGGGCUUGCCUGGCAUUUACAGCACCAUGACCGAAAGCUACUUAAGGAAGAAAGAAUUUAUUCCAUCUUAUGACUAGCAGGUCCCACACUCCAUCACUGAGGGAAGUCAGGGCAGGAAUCAAGGCAGGAACCCAGAGGCAGGAGCUGAGGCCAUGGGAAACUGCUGUUCAUUAGUUUGCUCCUCAUGGCUAGCUCAUCCCGCUUUCUUAAAUAGCACUCAGCCUAUGGUGAACUGCAUUCUCUCACAUCAGCUGUCAAUCAAGAAAAUGCACCACAGGCUUGCCCAUAGGCCAAUCUGGCAGGGGCAUUUUCUCAAUUGAGGUUUCCUCUUCCAAUAUGACUCUAGCUGUGUCAAGUUUCAAAAAAACUAGUCAGUGCACGAGGCUAAGAAGGCACCCAGUGAAGGCAAGCUUUCAAACUUUUUGGCCACCAGAAGGAAGUCUUGACCACUGUCUAGUAUCUUGUCCUGCCCCUCCCCUGCCACCCCCCAUACCCAACCCCACAUGUGAGUGUGUGUGCACAAACGAUCAUAUUAUCAAGUCACAAUCAGAUCUUACCUAGUAUCAAGUUUUACUAAUCAGACCAGUAAGAAGAUUUAGCAGUUAAAAGUACUUGCACCAGAGCCUAAAAACUGGGGCCUUUCUCCAGAUUCCUAGAACAACACACAUGAUAGAAGAGAACUAACUUCUACAAGUUGUCCUCUUACCUACCUACCUACACACACACACACACACACACACACACACACACACACACACACCAGUGAUACUGAGUGAAUGAAUGAGAGCCCUGCU
rnacentral:lncRNA from 1 species